UACAGAGGUCCCAAGCGUUGUUCGGAUUCACUGGGCGUAAAGGGUGCGUAGGCGGUCGGGUAAGUCUGACGUGAAAUCUCCAAGCUCAACUUGGAAAUGGCGUCGGAUACUAUUCGGCUUGAGGAUUGGAGGGGAGACUGGAAUUCUCGGUGUAGCAGUGAAAUGCGUAGAUAUCGAGAGGAACACCAGUGGCGAAGGCGAGUCUCUGGACAAUUCCUGACGCUGAGGCACGAAAGCCAGGGGAGCAAACGGG
rnacentral:rRNA from 1 species